rnacentral:misc_RNA from 1 species
AUUGAGCUUGCUGAUGACAUUGAUGUCUCUGUUGCUGUAUGCAGCAUUGGACUUGUAAAACAAUUACUAAGGCAUCAGCUUCUACCAGAUGAUGACUUGGGUCCUUUAUAUGAUUUACUCAUUGAUGAUCCAGCAGACAUCAGACGUGCCAUAGGAGAAUUGGUGUAUGAUCAUUUGAUUGCUCAAAAGUUUAAUAGCUCUCAAUCUGGCAUUAGAGGC